rnacentral:rRNA from 1 species
UACGUAGGGUGCAAGCGUUAAUCGGAAUUACUGGGCGUAAAGCGUGCGCAGGCGGCUUUGCAAGACAGAUGUGAAAUCCCCGGGCUUAACCUGGGAAUGGCAUUUGGGACUGCAAGGCUUGAGUUUGGCAGAGGAGACUGGAAUUCCUGGUGUAGCAGUGAAAUGUGUAGAUAUCAGGAGGAAUACCGAUGGCGAAGGCAGGUCUCUGGGCUAGAACUGACGCUCAUGCACGAAAGCGUGGGGAGCAAACAGG